CUCUGUAUGCAGCUUGCAGGUCUGGAUUCUGCUUCAUUCGCUACUGAAAUCUUUUAAAAAGUCAAUAUCUUAAACUAAUUUGUGUUUACUGAUAUGGAAUUUUGAUCUCAUUUGUCAUAUUGUGAUAUGCCAUAUUUUUAUGUAGAUAUACAUUCUUUAAUAUAGACAUUUACAAGAAGCAGAUGCCAGUGUCCUGCUUCUUGAACUUUCUAGCCAACAGAAUAGUGAGCCUAACAAACCUCUUUUCUUUCUAAAUUACCCAGCCUCGAGUCUUCUCUUACAGCAACACUAAAUGGGGUGGCUCUGAUCUUGAUCUGACAGCAAGAAAUGUUGCCAGUGCUCCAAAUGGGAUCUCGUCAUCAAGGAUAUCUGGACUUUCAAUGUGUGGUUAAUAAAAC
rnacentral:lncRNA from 1 species